rnacentral:misc_RNA from 1 species
CUUCACACUUCUCUUCUGCUUUUCCUCUUGCAAAUUGGGCAGGAAUUUUGAUCGAGCAUGGGGCGGAAGAAGGUGGAGAUGAAGCGAAUCGAAGACAAAAGCAGCCGUCAAGUGACUUUCUCCAAGAGACGAAACGGAUUAAUCAAGAAGGCUCGCGAACUCACCGUUCUCUGCGAUGUUCAAAUCGGUGUAAUCGUCUUCUCCAACAGCGGCAAGCUAUAUGAAUUUUGUAGCACUGGCAGGCAGCUUGAAGGGCCAACUUGUGAGCAGCUUAGUGUGACUGAUCUUAUCAAAUUGGUGCAAAUGAUACAAAGAGCUAUCAAGUGGAUUAUUCAAGCUCUAAGUCAUAUACAGAGCUACUGCAAAUAGUUGAAACGCAGCUUGAAGGGCCAACUUGUGAGCAGCUUAGUGUGACUGAUCUUAUCAAAUUGGAGAAUCAAUUUGCUGCUGCAUUGACACAAAUCAGAGCCAAAAAGACAGAACUGAUGUUGGAUUUUAUAAAGGCCCUCCACAACAAGGAAAUUAUGCUGAAAGAGGACAAUGUUCAUCUAGAGAGGGAGAUGGAAGCAAUGAAGAACGGUGUUGGCAUGGUGAAAAGGCUUAGAACCCAUCCAAACCUCCAUUUGGUUCAUUCUCCACAACAGGCAACUCUAAGUUUACUUCAGUGAUCGGCUAUAAGACAGCAUUGAUUGCCAGGUAGACUUCCUGCUCUUGUUGCCAUGUGAUGUGUCCACUGAUUCCGUGUUUGUUGUCAUAUUUGAAAGGGUAUUAUUUGAAGCCCAUUUCCUCCUUGCUCCCAAGUAUCUUGAUCUAUGGCUCAACCAUCUUUGAUCAAGUGAUAUCCCUCAUUGUUGACUGUACUCCGUGAAGUUGUAUGACACACAAUAUUAUGUUCUGAUGAAUCAUCAACAUAUCCAAUAACUUGUGUGGAAGACAUAUUAGUUAAUAAGUUGCAGGAGCUUGUACUCAUUUGGGAUCAUGCAAGACUGGGUUUUAUAUGACAGAGAAAAUCAAAU